UACGAGAGGCCCAAACGUUAUUCGGAAUUACUGGGCUUAAAGAGUUCGUAGGCGGCGCAGAAAGUAGGGUGUGAAAGCCCUCGGCUCAACCGAGGAAUUGCGCUCUAAACUACUGUGCUUGAGGAAGCUAGAGGUGAGCAGAACAGAUGGUGGAGCGGUGAAAUGCGUUGAUAUCAUCUGGAAUACCGGAGGCGAAGGCGGCUCACUGGGGCUUUUCUGACGCUGAGGAACGAAAGCCAGGGGAGCGAACGGG
rnacentral:rRNA from 1 species